AGAUCAGCUAACAAUCUGGUUUUUAUCAAAUAUUUACACUGAGACACUAAAAACGAUCAGAGUUUAGAUUUACAGACUGCAUCACCAAAUGAUGGAUCUGACCUCCAUUCAACAAACAAACAUUGUCAAAGUAGUUUUCUUCUCCUCUUGAGGACAGACCUGACAAAGCUGGACUUCGGACUGAUCUGGAUCAUGGUGUUGUUAUUUCAGCAAAUUGAAGACCUACUAUUGAGGAGAACAUCAGUUUCUGUUUCAGGUUCAUACUACUGAAGGAAACCAGAGUGACGCCUCUGAGAGACUACUUACAGAGAAACUGAACUCAACACAAACAGACGAAGAGUUUUCCUGUAGGUGAUCUCAUGAACAUCAAAAAGUGAACAGUUUGUAGUCCAAACAGAUACAUAGAGGGAUGAAUUUCUCCUUACAUUAAAUCCAAACACAUGGCUUCUUUCUCAACUAUGCCGCGCUCAGAAAAGGAAGUCUUGGUUGGAAGUUGUUCAUUUCUAACUGUUGGCUGCACAUGAGUGUCUGAAAAGUUGGCCAUCAGCUGUUUUUUGUAGCUGCAUCAUUGAACACAGAGUCAGGAGGGGGAACAGCUUCAGAGGGUGUAAACCUGAAAGAACAUUUCUGAGGUUUUAACCAGAGCUGUGACCCGAGCUGCCGAGAGAUGGUUUUAAAGAACUUGUCAGGGUAAGGACUCCUAGUUUUAUGGGUUUUAACUGGAACAGAAUGAUCAGCAGACUCCUCCUAGAAUUAAAUCCAGUAUCAAAUCAGGGGUUAGGUAUGCUCUGAAUGUCUGCUUCACAAUGUUAGAGUUGUUAGAUGCUUUCAAUCAGGUUUUGAGUUUUAAUAUCACAAACAUUUUCUGGAACUGCACACCACAACAUAAAAUUAAAUAGGUGAGCAUGUCCUCUUCAUGUAAUCCUGGUUCAGACAGCAGGGCCGAUUGAGUCACGAUUUGAGGUGCAGGAGGAGCUUCUGUUGUUCCUAAAGAGGUUUCUUUCCACCACUCAUCAGUGAAGUUAAUUCCCAACCUCAGCUCCCUUAAAGCCCAUUACGCUCCCCUCAUCAAAUGAAGAGAGCUGGAUGUGGAUCUGGGAGAUUGGUGGCUUUUGUUGAGUUCAGAGAGGUCCUCUCGGGGCUGCAGAGAGGCUGUUAAAUGUAUUUUUAAACAAUAGUGGAGAGUCCCAACCUCUGUUUUAUCUUUCCUGGUUAAUUAGAGACAUAUGAGCCUCUUUCUCCUUUACCCAAAGGCACAAAGACAAAUCUGAUAUGACUAUCCAACCAAACAUGUAAGUGCUGAUUUACUCAGACUUGAGCUUUACAUGUUUAUCUGAAAGGAGUAUUGCACAAUAUUGGACAAAUAUGAAAAAAGCUUUUCUUUUCAUUCAGUAAAAGUACUGGGAGAUGAAAAAUGUAGGAAUCAGACUAAAUAUAUGCAGAGUGUUAAUGAAUAAUUUAAAACUCUAAUAAAGCCCCUACAGUUUUUAAUUAUUUGGGUUUCUAGGUCUACCUUUAAAUGAGUUCUGCUCUCACUUUACCACACCGUGUCCUGCCCUCUUAUCUGCUCCAGGUCCAGCUCACUGAAUCAAGCAUCUGCAGCGUCAUCUGUGAUGUCCACAGCUUUGUGUGCAUGUUUGAGUUCAAUGGUCGUGUCACAUAGACACACACUCUACAAACGCAGCAGCUGCAUUUAAGUGAUAUCAGGCAGAGUUUUAUGAAUGUUCAAUCAUGCAUCAUGGCAGCAGGAUGUAUUUCAGGUCCGAGGGUGGAAAUUUGUCCCACGGUGAGCGUAACUGUAGAGUUCAUAUGAUAAUCUUUCAGUCCUAAAGGAAAAGUUAACUCUGUCAGUUCAUGCUUUAUU